rnacentral:rRNA from 1 species
GUCCCAUGGGCGCAGCCUGAUGCAGCAUGCCGCGUGUAGGUGGAAGGCCCACGGGUCGUCAACUUCUUUUCUCGGAGAAGAAACAAUGACGGUAUCUGAGGAAUAAGCAUCGGCUAACUCUGUGCCAGCAGCCGCGG